GGCACUGCCAGACUGUGGUGAAAUAUAAGUCGGGGAAUACUAUGAAGGUAUUUUUGGUGCAAAACUCCCAGGCAGCUGUAAAAGUGUCAUUUGUAGUUGUAAAAAAUAGCCACACAUGUGUAUCAGUAAAUUUGUACUCGCAGAGCAAAUUUGCAAAUGCGUAUCAGUAAAUUUGUACUCGCAGAGCAAAUUUGCAAAUGUGUAGGUAUUUUUUGUCUCCAACAAACACAACGCAACAUUUACACCUGCACAAAUUCUUCAGUACAGGUGCACAAAUCCCAUCGGACGAAUCACAAAUGCAGAAACUCAUCCGCUCAUGUUCUUUGCUACUAUUGUUGCAGUGAAUAUGGUGCAAAACACAUUCACACACCUGCAUCCAGAAAUGUGAAGUCACAGACAAAACUUGCACAUCUGUAGAUUAGAAUGUGUAUCCGCACAAAGAGAGCUGAACGUGUGUAGAAUGUUUGAUUAUUUUUUUUCUAAGCACGAACACAAAUAUGUUCCUGCAACUGCUCAAAUCUGCCGCUACAAGUCUCAAGCGCUGUUUUUCACUUGCAAAUCUACAUUUCGCUCUCUCGCUCUUCUGCACCAAAAAUCACUGUGACAUUUGGUGCAAAAGUUACUUGUGUAUCUGCCAACCAAAACGUGGGCUCUCAGAGAAAUUCAGCCAAUAGGGGAUGGGGCGUGACGUCACCGCUCUAGCGCUGCGGAGGCUGAACGUCGAAACCGAAACCCCCUUUGCGAGAUUCGCUGCAUCUAUACCUGAUUUGCGUUCAAAAAUGCCUGCUUAAUUAUUUCAUAGUAGGAGCAAACAUGCCUUAAGAAAAGGAGUAGGUUUGAAACUUUAGUAACCAUAAAAAGUACGCCAGGUGGAUGCCUUUCUACUCCAGGAAGCCGCAGCCUACGGCCUGAAGGAGGAAGAGGACGCGGUCAGUUUGAAAUAGCUGAAUCGAUGACAUCCUGAUAGCAGCAAUACAAUUAAGACAGAAGCCCAUGUUUUGCUGUAUCUCCACACAGCUGGGCCAGUUCUUCAGAUGAUCAGAGGGACUUCGCCAUCAUCACAUCCCUCAUUGCUGCAGUCAGACUGAAACAGGACGGUGAUGCAUGGCAGUCCAUGCCCGAGAUACGGAUGAUGAAGAGACCACAGCAACAUC